rnacentral:misc_RNA from 1 species
AGUGUGCUGGCAUAACGCUCAGCUACUCUUUAAAUGCAUAAGUGGAACCUCACAGAUCUAGCUCUGGCGUGAUAAUUAUCUACGUUGCAGCGGUGACGUGUUUGGGUCUGCCUACAACUGUCCCUCACUGGACAGGGGUUCUUUGACCCCUAUUUUGACAAUUUGACCUCAAAUCAGGUAGGACUACCCGCUGAACUUAA